UGUAGACUGGAAGUGACACAAUACGCGAUCGUUCGUGAAACGCGUUGCUCGUGCGCACAACUAAGUGAAAAGUUUAAUUAUCAAAUGUUUGUAAACGGUGUUCAGGCUAUCAGUUCACGUUUGGAAAACCUUAAUUUGGAUUAUCAAAGAACCAUGCAGCCGAUGUCCGAAAGACCGCCUGUGUGCCCCAAGACGCAGCUGCCUCAUUUCCAACUGACGCCAUCUGACGCCGGUCAGAAGAAAGAUGGAAGUCCACAGGCAACAGAAAACCCCUGGCUACUGAAACCUCAGCAUGAAAUACCAGCAACCCCACCACCUCAAACGAAGCAGACUGGAAACUUCUUCCAACAAAGAAUAGGAUAAAUCAUGAUCCGGCCUAAUAGAAAGAUGUUGAAAUAACUUUCUUAUGGCAAUGUGCCAUCUUGUCGGAACACGGACAAUCGUAUAAAAAUACUUUAUAGAAAGAAAAUACGUUGAACGUCAUAUGUGAAACGACAAGAUUAGUGGAAUACCAGGAAGACGGUUGACUGUACAGGUCCAAGCAGUUGUUAUUUAUGAAUAAAUUUAUGUUAAUAAAUAAGGUUUUGAAAAAGUUUGUAGACUAUAGUACUAUUUUAUUCUGUAGCUAACAGUUACUCGUGUAAAUAAUUAUUAAAAUUAAUGUAGAUGAUGUGAUAUUUUAAAGUUGUAGUAAGUCAUGUUUGCAAAACGUUUUAUUUCUUAAGUAUUGCAAACAGAAAGGAUUAAAAAUACUUAUACAAUAAACAAUAUUUAAAUAA